rnacentral:rRNA from 1 species
UAAGACGAACCGUCCAAACGUUAUUCGGAAUCACUGGGCUUAAAGGGUACGUAGGCGGCCUGAUAAGUUGGGUGUGAAAUCCCUCGGCUCAACCGAGGAACUGCACUCAAAACUGUCAGGCUAGAGGGAGAUAGAGGUGAGCGGAACUCAGGGUGGAGCGGUGGAAUGCGUUGAUAUCCUGGGGAACACCAGCUGCGAAGGCGGCUCACUGGGUCUCUUCUGACGCUGAGGUACGAAAGCUAGGGGAGCGAACGGGAUUAGAUACCCCGGUAGUCCUAGCUGUAAACGAUGGAUACUAGGUGUGGGAGGUAUCGACCCCUUCUGUGCCGCAGCUAACGCAUUAAGUAUCCCGCCUGGGGAGUACGGUCGCAAGGCUG